AUUGAAUCGAUGUCAUUUGUGUUAUUUUGAACUAUAAGACAAAAAUGUGUUGAUUGGCCCGUGUGAUAGAAGUAUGUAAGUCAAUAUGAGGGAAAAUGCCAGAAUGGUUGGUGCUAGAAGCUAAAUUUAUUUGGUUUGUUUUGUUUUGUUGAUAACAAGUUUAUUUGUUUUGUAAUUCUACUUGAAUAUUAAUUAACCCAUUCUUAAUUCCCUCCUACAGUUUUGGAUGUCAAGGAAAUAACCAUGGGAUAUUAUAUUCUCUGUUCUUGCAUCAUACAACAAGACAUUUAAUGGAAUACUUCACAAUUUUAUUUUUGAUGAUAUUCUUCUCAUCUAACUCAUAUCCUCGUCAGCAAUUUAUUUUCAGAAGAUAUCAGCAAACAUUGUCUCAUUUAAAAAUAUUAGGCAUAUUUUUUUAAACCAUUUUUUAUUUUUACUUUUGAAAUAGUAAAUCUAUGAAUAGAAAUCAUUUGUUAAAUAUUGAAUUUUAUAUCAUUCAGUGGAGCAUAAAUCAACAAG
rnacentral:lncRNA from 1 species